UAGCUUGUUAGCAUAACAAAUUACUAGCUAGACAUUUGACGACUUCGGGUGUGUUCUUAAAUAAAAUCUGGAGUGCCAGAGUGCGCUCAGAGCGUUGGUAAAUUCAGAGGGUUGUCAGAUUGUUUGUAAAUUCAGAGCGUUUUGCUCUCUGAGCGCACACUGGACACUCGGCCGAGGAGUAGGGGUAUGUUUGUAAAUUCACUCUGGCUAUCUACUCCGAUUUCAGUGCACUCUGGUCUGAGUGUGCCAGAGCGCAGAAUAACUGAUGAAUUUACAAACGCUCAACAACCGUUGAAUAUGGCCGGUGUCAGUAAACGUCGGCAAAAAAGCGUAAUUAAAUUAUUGCCAGCAGCACAGUUAGUCACCAACGCUCUGGAUAACAUGAAAACAGCCUAACCAGCUCUGCUAGGGCGAGUAAAAUGGUCAGAGUGAGAUGUUCUCUCAUUUAUGUCUGGAAGUAGCUAUCAAGCGAGCUAACUUUAGCCAGUUAGCUUGGGUGCUUGACUGCCGUUAUGAGGUCAGAACGCUCGGCUCAACCAUACUCCAUGUCAUAAUUUAUUGGUUAUGUUAACAUGUAUUUGUGAAUCAACAGAACUGCUGUAUUAAUGUGGGGAAUCUGUAAGUAUCCUAUCAAAUCAUGUUGGUGAGGCAAGGAAGAUUUAUGGAGUCCAGGUGAGUAGGGUAUACAAUUUAUUUUAACAUGUCAGCAUCACAUGUAUUUCUUUAGUGUUAUUGUUUUUCUGGGUGAAUAAGGUUUGUAAAAUAUCCUUGUGGUUGGGGGCAAUGCUGUCACGUCCUGACCAUUGUAAGAGGUCAUUUGCCAUAGUGGGUGUGACAGGUGGUUGUUUUGGGUGGUUUUGGGGUUUUCUGUUUCUAGGUGGGAUCGUGCUGGAAUUCUAUUUCUAUGUUUCGUUUUCCAUGUUUUGGCCGGGUAUGGUUUCCAAUCAGAGGCAGGUGACUUUCGUUGUCUCUGAUUGGAAGCCAUACUUAGGCAGCCUGUUUUCCUUUGGGGUUUGUGGGUAGUUGUUUCCGUUUAGUCUAGUGUACCUGACGGAACUGUUGUUGGUCGUUUUUGUUGUUGAAGUGUAUUCAUUAAAGACAAAGAAUGAGCACUAUACAUGCUGUGCCUUGGCCUCCUUUCAAUGACCCCUAUGACAAAUGCCUAAAGUAUGGUAAGUUUAAGUGGUCUCAUCUCAUUGGGAACAAUAGCAAGGUAAGUUUAUGAUGUAACUUGCAUGUGUUUUGAUUAAGUUGAUCACAUAGUCCUCAGUCACACAAUUGUUAAUAAUGUGAUUUUCUCUGAAUGUCUUUUUUUUGUAACAAACAUUCUAUCACAGGUGCAGAAUGCAGUGUCCAGUGGGCUAACUGGCAUAGCCUGCACCGAUGAGCAUCGACAAUGGAAUGCAGGGACUUGGGAGGAACCUUGAGUCAAAGCGGUUAACCAGCAUUGACUUCACACACCAUAAGGCCAGUGACCAAUAUGCAGAAAAGCAUCCAGAAUGUCCACUCCUGCAUUCCACUCACAUGAGAAAUUGAAUAGGAGCUUGAGACACCUGAAUCGGCCUGUGGGGAGUCUGCUCUAUAAGUGUGUUAAUGCUGAACCGACAAUAAUAUCACAGCCAGUAGCAUCCCAGCCACAUGGAGAGCAUGUCAAUUACAACUGCCAGAAGUGCCUGUCCUUCUACAAUGAAUUUGUGAAACUUGACCCAACCCAGUCGACUACUUAGGAACAGAUCACAAAGGAGCAGAGUGUCUCACACUUGUGGCAUGACUCAAGGAAGCUUUGAGUUUCUGCAAGAAAGAAGGUCCGUCAGGGAAUCCACUAACCCUGGUAAGUUUCUCCAGGAUCAUCUGUAUCCCAGGUUCCCGAGGGAGUGCAGCCACAUGCUACGGGAAAGAUAAUGUGCUGAUGGCCACCCAGUGGCUGGAAGACUGUGGUUACUCUGUGGACCAUAGAGGCACUGUUGUCAGUGUUGAAGAGCCAUGGCUACCAGCAAGCCCUGAUGGAGUGCUUAACUCCAAGGAGCUGUUGGAGAUCAAGUGUCCAGUCAUGGGGAAGGGCUAUGAUUCUCUGGAUGAUGUCUUCAAUGGGAAAGCCUGUGAUGUGGAGGGCACACCCCAACUGCAACCACAUGGGCCACGUGGCUACUACAUGCAGGUGCGCAAAUUGGUAUGUUUAGCACAGGACUGAGAGAAAGUAAGGUGCUCAUCUGGACUCCAUCCCAGCAAGUUGUCAUCCCUGUUCCCUAUGAUGCACAGUUCUGUGCAGAGGCUGUGCUGAGGUUGAAGGCAUUCUACUUUAUACACAUGCUGCCAUUUAUUGUUGAGGAUCAUCAGGCAGGCAGAUUGUCACCGAGUGACAAAUAUAUGCAGCUCUGUAGAAGUAUGUGGUCAGAUGUCUCUCCUGUUUGCAGUUACUAUUAACACAUUGUUUUCCAGUUAAAAAGCCUGACUUAAUGCAUCAACAGUCACAGUACUGUGGAAACUGUUUUUAUGGCUUCGUUUUUUUUAUUAAUAUGAAUCAGUAUGUAAAACAAAUAAUUAAGUUGAGUUGUUAUAGAAUGAAUUGAAAUUGCAUGUAACUUUUGACACAACUUUAAUUCAUAUUGGGAAAUCGACCCUGUGAAUGGCAUUUGACUGGUCAGUUCAUUCAGCAUCUUCAUGAAUGAUAUCGCCACGCAGGUUACACAGGGCGGCACAGAUUCAAAGUAUUUUGUCCAUUUUAGAUGAGAGGUUGAUUGGCACUGUCUGUGAGAUGUUUCUAAACCAUUUGAGCCUUUGAAUUACGCGUUCCACAUGAACCCUCACGUUAGCUAUCCGUCUUGUACAUGUGGUGUCCUCCUCUGACAGCUGUGCGCCUCUUUUUGUGAAGGCUGGAAUUGUUCAUUUGACCUUCCUCUCGUGUAGCAGAUCACUGAUUGUGAAGCCCCGGUGAGCCAUGACCUCAUCACCUGGACAGAGGUACUCCAGGAACCUAGAAUCCAAUGUUAUAUAUUUGUCGCUACAUCUACCUCCAUAUGCUGAGGAGAUGAACAUCACUAGACCACAAGGUGCAAUGGCCACCAGGUACUUGAUAGUGUUCUAGGCGUAGUAAUGGCUGAAUGACUCCCCCUUUGAAUCCAGAACCUUGCACUUCUGUAAAACAGUUUCUGAGCAGUCAAUAAUGCAGGUUGUUCCUGGGUAGUGGUCCUUAAAACAUUGUGGCAUUGUAGCACGGAUGGUCUCCCUUGGCAGCCAUGGAAUGCACUCCCUCAGAUUCUCUUCCAUCAUGUCGAUCCAAUAACUAAAUCACUCAACUGACAAUACUCUGGGAAACACCAAACCUUUCUGCUAGGUACUGCUGCAGCAAGUUGAGCUUCAGCUUCAUCAGUGUCAUCAGGAAUUAGUAUGUCAGGUCUAACUGAAAGCUGCCUUUGUAGAGGGGUAGAAGAUGUUCCGCCAGGGUAGAAAAGGCAACAAGGCUGUAUGCAGUCGACAGAGUGCUUCGUUCCUCAGCACGGUUUUGUAGAGAGGUCCUGCUGGGCACUGUGUCCCUGCCUCACAGGUAGUGGGCUUUACAUGAUCACCUGAGCUGUGAUCACUUAGAGAUGGGUCUUCCCAUUGGGUUUGGGCAUCCUUCUCUGAAGGCAUAUCCAUUCCUUCUAUCUGUGUUGGUCAAUCCCCAUUUUCAAUUUGGUGAACACGUGAGCCUGUUUUGUCAUCUGUUAAGAAAUCAGUAUGGCUUGUUAAACAAGUCAACGGACAAUUAAUAACAAAACUGUACAAUAAAACACCAUACUGCAUGGACGCUCCUAAUAAUAUUUAAUCAUCAUAAUAAUUAAGUAUAUAUAACAUUUUAUUGAGUUGUAGAGGAAAUAAAUUGUGCUAUUAUAAUACUGUGCUUAGAUGCAAGACAAAAUGAGAGCAGGCAAACUGCUCAAGUGUUUGGCUUACCUGUCACUGAUGAAUACCUGACACUUCUUCAAGAGUGGAGCAUCGUAGCCAAGCCAUUUAUCUGGGUAAGAAUGCUCCAUUGUAGUCCUUGUCAAAGAAGUGGUAGGAGCACACAAAGGGACGUUUAGGUGGUUUCUUUAGGUUCAAUGCUUUGAGCCAGAGCCACAAAUACUAUGCAUCUUUAGGAGGUGGAUGCAGGUCGUAUGGGGCUCCACAGGUACAUUCAGAUCAAUGUAGAGGUUGGUGUUCAAAACAUUGCUGUUGUAAAAACUUCCUCCUCUUCAUCCAAUUAUUGUGCCAGCCUCAUACAGAACAUAUAAUGCUUGUCAUGUUGAUCGAUUUUAGGACUUUGUGCGGUUCUGUCAGUGUAAAACUAUCAAACUCUCAACUAAAAGUGCCGCUUUCGCCUCCCGCCACUAGAAUGUGCUAGCGUCGCGCGAAUGUUGCCGGAAAUAGAAACACAAUUUCCACUAACUCGCCGCGAGAUCACUUCGCAGUGGCAACUUUUUUCAUUUCAAAAAAUAUUCUGUUCUCUUUUAUUCUGCUAUAUUACAUAUUUAGUUUUUUUUUUACUACAAAAUAGAUAUCUUGACCUAUUUUAAAAGGGCUCGGGAAAUAAGAGUGUCUUGUCUGCUAAAUUAACAAAGCAAGGCUACGCCAUUGCACAGCCAUAGGCUUCUACAAGCAAGUGCCACUGCUGCGGUUACUGCCUUUUUGAAGAUUGUGUUACACAAUAUAAUAUAACUAGUUGAUAUUACGGUUUCAAUAAAUUAAUCUUAAAUGGCACUUAAUUUUUUAUUGACUGAAUAUACUGUAUAUGGGGCAAUUUAGGGAUUAGGAUUUGUUAUCUGUAUUGGUUAUGAUAAAUUAGGCAUUCUCUCGCACUGUUGGCAUAGACCUAUAGAUAAAUGCACACAUUUAUUUACAGUGCAGUUCUAAAACUAUAUUUUUUAUUGCAGUACAACAACAACAAAAAUUAUGCGAGUACUUGAACAUCCCAAAAAUUCAAAUGCCCAUCUCUAGCUAGAUUUGCUUAUAUUUUUGUUACUAGCUUGUAUUAUGCUAGUUUGGCCGCUAAUGUAUUCUAGUGGCCAUUAUGCCUUAGUGUGUACUGUAUUCUCUAAUAGCCUGUUGCUAAUACUUAGCUGCAAUUGUGUUUAGCCUCCCUAGCCCUUGCCCAUUGCAUAUGUACAGAGCAUUACUCCCAUUGUUGCUAAGCAUCUUAGCCUCGCUGCUAUUACUUCUAUUAUUAUUAUUACUACAUUGUAUUAGCCUGUGUUACUAAUAGUCUAUUACUACUAUUGAUGAUAUUACAUUCUUAUUUCUGUCUAGCUUACUAGCCCUAACCAUUAUAGGACAUCUAUAGCCUAUUUCAGUGUUACCCACAAUUUUUUGUAAGGAGGCUACUUUGGGUUGAGACAAUCAUUUAGAGGGCUGCACAGAUCUUUAAUUUGUUGUACUUUUUCUUUCAAUUAUCAAUUUAGCGCAAAUUCAGAGCAAUAGAGCACAUGCAAUUGAUUUGAUGGACAGCACAUCACAAAUAUAUACAUUUAACAAAUAUAUACAUUGGUGGGGCCGUGUCCACCAUGUGUGCAUAUAUAUAUCAAAUAGGCUACAUCACAUGUAUAAGACCCAUAUUAAGGGUUACCUCAAUGUCACUUCUGCUCCUUGACUGAAUUCAUUCUAAAUUUAGUCUGUUGUUGCUAUCCCUGUGAGGCAAUCCAGGUGUGCAUUGGUCAGUCUGUUUCUCUGUUUUUGUUUCACAAUGCUCAUUGUUGAGUCCCUUCUCCUCCCCUCGCAUAUUUGGGGCACCGAUAGUGCACACAGAUGCCAGAUUUGACAAUGUCAAUAUUAUGUAACAAGGGCUUUCAGAAUAUCCCAUCCUCCUGUUUGUCCCUGAAGGGGCAGUAAACAUAAACGUUCCUCUCUGAACGACUCGUUUUGAGGGAAGUGAACCCAAACAUAUAAUUGCCCAAUGUCACUUACAUCAGCGCUGUCAUCAAGCACAAUACAAAAACACUGCGCCACUGAUGUGUUGUCUUCUAUGCGUCUUGUUAUGGUCGAGUCUGAGAGUUGCAGUCCCUUAAUUUGCUUUAAUAGAUUUAAUAGAUUCCUUGUUUGUGAAAUCAGCAUACAACAUUUCAGCUGAGGUCACAUCUGUGAAGGCCUUCUUGUUUCUCGUGUGUAUCCCAAGCAAUCUCAUAUGUUGUCUCUGUCAUUUUCUCUGCAACAGUGCUAGAUCUGUCCGUCAUUUGUUGUUGUCCUUUUAGCUGUCCUUUGAGUUGCGCUAUUUUGUUGUUUCUGAGGUUGCUUGGUGGCGGAUGUUUUGUCAAAGUGUGCAUGAUGUGACUGGAAAUGUCGCUCUAAACUUGCAUUUUUUAAACAAUUGACUGCCUUCUGGCAAAUAAGACAAUGCGAGCUAGUACCAUUAUGCAGUACAAAAAAAUACUUGUCUGUCCAUUUCUCUUGGAACUUUCUGUAUUCUUCUUGAAUCGACCUUAUUCUUCUCUUAGCCACCAGAGCCACGUUAGCUAACCGCAUUUCCCUGCCGCCAUUUUCCUGAUUUUCCUGGUUCUCCGAUGGUUGCUCGUUCAUAGCUGACACGUUGUUCCCCAGCUCUUCCCCCCUAAUUUUCAUUGUCAAUAGAUUUACGUUUAUUUUUUACAAUAAAUCGAUCCAUGUCUACCAGACUGCAAAAUUAGCUAGUAGCAAACUGAUGUGUUGGUCGAUGCAGCUGAGCAGUUGCGUUCUAUUUCGGCAAACUUUCUGUUUAACAGCUGCGCUAUACUGCCAUCUAUCUGCGGUCCAAGGAGCAACAGACAUAGCCUAUGAAGUGAUUCAGGCCUGCAUUAAUUAAACACAUUUAAUUUAAAUUGUAUAAUUUAUGUAUUGUCAAUGGAAACUAGGAAAAUCACCGAGAGCCGCAAUGAGUACCACUGGCCUAUGUUAUUACAAUGCUAUUCAAUUGAAGCUAUUAUUCCAUUAGCACUAUUGUCAUUGUUAUCAUUACAUGCUCCCUAGUACAGUUGCUACAUUCUAACGUAUAGCUCAGUGGUCACCAAUCGGUGAAAGCAUUCCUAGUCGAUCACCAAACAUUUUUGUAGAAAAGCCAACGAUAAAGACUUGCGCUCCUUUUUUAAAAUUCGUGUCGCGCAGUUGAUGGUAGGUGCACUUGAUUCAGAAGCCCUGCGUAGACAAAGUGUUCCCAUUUUGAACCUUUUUAUUUGUCUGAAAAACCAAACUAACUACCUGGCGGACCAGGAUAUCUGUGGCUAAAUCGAGUGUCUACUUACUGGCCAAUAGGAUAGCUCAAAUCCACGUGCCUACAGCUUCCAGUGUAGUUUGAUAUUAGCCUAUAUGAGAUUUCAUAACUAUUAAAAACCAUGACCAGAGAGACUGUCAAAUAAUACCGCAAGGAGCUGGUAUUUUUAUGAGAACAACAUGAACUUGUGCAUGACUCAGCAUGAGGCAGAUGCUGUGCGACUGGAGUUUCGCCAUCAGUUGGAAGACGUUGUCCCCUCUCGUCAGUCUCACUGGAGGAAAGGACGAUACCACACAUCCUUACACACCUGACAUUUAUCACUAUAACUCCUAUUCUCUUGUAAUGCUGGUGUGUGUUGCAGCUGGCAAUAAACCUGUGUUUUUUACCUGUCUCCUACUGAGUCAUCAUCUCUCUAACGGGGACCUAGGGCAGUUGUUCCAUCUACCUUUUACUAGCAACUCUAUGGGUUCACCUCUUACUGUGUGGCGCUCACUUUCACAACUUUUCCACAUUUGUUGUCGUCGGAGUGAGGGAAAUGCUGUAAAUUACGAGGACUCUAUGUAUUUUGAAAAGAUGAGAUGUUGAUGAUUAUAAUAAAUACCGCUUUGAUGUCAUACAAGCAAGCCAAACACCCUUGAGUACAAAUGUGCACUUCACAUUUCCAUAUAAAACUCAUGUAAUAUACAGUGUAAACGUCUCUGAUCACUAUGUUUGAUGUACAGUUACAAGAUGACGUUUUACCCUGG
rnacentral:lncRNA from 1 species